GAUGAACGCUAGCGGCAGGCCUAAUACAUGCAAGUCGAGGGGCAGCGCAGUGUAGCAAUACAUGGGCGGCGACCGGCAAACGGGUGCGGAACACGUACGCAACCUUCCUUCAAGUGGGGGAUAGCCCAGAGAAAUUUGGAUUAAUACCCCGUAAGAUGGUGGUCUGGCAUCAGACAGCCAUUAAAGCUGAGGCGCUUGAAGAUGGGCGUGCGUCUGAUUAGGUAGUUGGUGAGGUAACGGCUCACCAAGCCGACGAUCAGUAACUGGCGUGAGAGCGCGACCAGUCACACGGGCACUGGGACACGGGCCCGACUCCUACGGGAGGCAGCAGUAAGGAAUAUUGGUCAAUGGACGCAAGUCUGAACCAGCCAUGCCGCGUGAAGGAUGAAGGUCCUCUGGAUUGUAAACUUCUUUUAUGUGGGAAGAAACCACCUUUUUCUAAGGGUGUUGACGGUACCAUAGGAAUAAGCACCGACUAACUCCGUGCCAGCAGCCGCCGUAAGAC
rnacentral:rRNA from 1 species